AUUGAACGCUGGCGGCAGGCCUAACACAUGCAAGUCGAACGAGUGGCGGACGGGCGGACAAGGUCUUGGCAACUGCCUGAUGGAGGGGGAUAACUACUGGAACCGGUAGCUAAUACCGCAUACGGUCAUAUGUGCCCUGAGGGGAUUAGCUAGUUGGUGGGGUAACGGCUCACCAAGGCGAAGCUCCCUAGCUGGGCUGAGAGGAUGACCAGCCACACUGGAACUGAGACACGGCCCAGACUCCUACGGGAGGCAGCAGUGGGGAAUAUUGGACAAUGGGCGCAAGCCUGAUGCAGCCAUGCCGCGUGUAUGAAGAAGGUUUUCGGGUUGUAAAGUACUUUCAGCGGAGAGGCGUUACCCGCAGAAGAAGCACCGGCUAACUCCGUGCCAGCAGCCGCGGUAAUAC
rnacentral:rRNA from 1 species